rnacentral:rRNA from 1 species
UGGGGAAUAUUGCACAAUGGGCGAAAGCCUGAUGCAGCAACGCCGCGUGAGGGACGACGGCCUUCGGGUUGUAAACCUCUUUUAGCAAGGAAGAAGCGAAAGUGACGGUACUUGCAGAAAAAGCGCCGGCUAACUACGUGCCAGCAGCCGCGGUAAUACGUAGGGCGCAAGCGUUAUCCGGAAUUAUUGGGCGUAAAGAGCUCGUAGACGGUUUGUCGCGUCUGCUGUGAAAACCCCGAGGCUCAACCUCGGGCCUGCAGUGGGUACGGGCAGACUAGAGUGCGGUAGGGGAGAUUGGAACUCCUGGUGUAGCGGUGGAAUGCGCAGAUAUCAGGAAGAACACCGAUGGCGAAGGCAGAUCUCUGGGCCGUAACUGACGCUGAGGAGCGAAAGGGUGGGGAGCAAAACAGGCUUAGAUACCCUGGUAGUCCACCCCGUAAACGUUGGGAACUAGUUGUGGGGUCCAUUCCACGGAUUCCGUGACGCAGCUAACGCAUUAAGUUCCCCGCCUGGGGAGUACGGCCGCAAGGCUAAAACUUAAAUGAAUUGACGGGGUCAUAGCUGUUUCCU